UACGGAAGGGGCAAGCGUUGUUCGGAAUCAUUGGGCGUAAAGGGCGCGUAGGUGGUUCUGUAUGUCUACCGUGAAAGCGUACGGCUCAACCGUAUUUUGUCGGUGGAAACUGCAGGACUUGAGGCUGGGAGGGGCUGGUGGAAUUCCCUGUGUAGCGGUGAAAUGCGUAGAGAUGGGGGAGAACACUCGUGGCGAAGGCGGCCAGCUAGACCAGUUCUGACACUGAGGCGCGACAGCGUGGGGAGCAAACAGG
rnacentral:rRNA from 1 species